UGCCCACUGAUUUUUAAAUUAAAGGGCUGCAGUAAUUUGACUGUACAAAGGUAGCAUAAUCAUUAGUCAUUUAAUUGAUGACUUGUAUGAAAGAUUGGAUGAGAUAUAAACUGUCUCUUAAUUAAAUUUAGAAUUUAAUUUUUUAAUUAAAAAGUUAAAAUAACUUAAAAAGACGAGAAGACCCUAUAGAGUUUAAUAUAUAAACUAAUUAAAAUUAUUAUUAAAAUAAAUAAAUUGAAAUUAAUUUAUAUAUUUUGUUGGGGUGAUAAAAAAAUAUAUAAAACUUUUUUUUAAAAAAUACAUAUAUAAGUGAGUAUUUGAUCCAAUAUUAUUGAUUAAAAGAAAAAAUUACCUUAGGGAUAACAGCGUAAUUUUUUUUUUUAGUUCAUAUAAAAAAAAGAGUUUGCGACCUCGAUGUUGGAUUAAGAUAAAAUUUAAAUGCAGAAGUUUAAAGUUUUUGA
rnacentral:rRNA from 1 species